rnacentral:rRNA from 1 species
AGGUUACUGCUAUCGAGGUUCGACUAAGCCAUGCGAGUCGAAUGUAGCAAUACAUGGCGUACUGCUCAGUAACACGUGGACAACCUACCCUUGGGACGGGGAUAAACCCGGGAAACUGGGUAUAAUACCCGAUAGAUCUCGAAAGCUGGAAUGCAUCGAGGUCGAAAGCUCCGGUGCCCAAGGAUGGGUCUGCGGCCUAUCAGGUAGUAGUGGGUGUAGCGUACCUACUAGCCUACGACGGGUACGGGUUGUGAGAGCAAGAGCCCGGAGAUGGAUUCUGAGACACGAAUCCAGGCCCUACGGGGUGCAGCAGGCGCGAAAACUUUACAAUGCUGGAAACAGCGAUAAGGGAACCUCGAGUGCCAGGUUACAAAUCUGGCUGUCGUGAUGCCUAAAAAGCAUUGCAUAGCAAGGGCCGGGCAAGACCGGUGCCAGCCGCCGCGGUAACACCGGCGGCUCGAGUGGUAACCGUUAUUAUUGGGUCUAAAGGGUCUGUAGCCGGCCGGAUAAGUCUCUUGGGAAAUCUGGCAGCUUAACUGUCAGGCUUUCAGGAGAUACUGUCUGGCUCGAGGCCGGGAGAGGUGAGAGGUACUUCAGGGGUAGGGGUGAAAUCUUGUAAUCCUUGAAGGACCACCAGUGGCGAAGGCGUCUCACCAGAACGGACCUGACGGCAAGGGACGAAAGCUAGGGGCACGAACCGGAUUAGAUACCCGGGUAGUCUAGCCGUAAACGAUACUCGCUAGGUGUCGGCCACGGUGCGACCGUGGUCGGUGCCGUAGGGAAGCCGUGAAGCGAGCCACCUGGGAAGUACGGCCGCAAGGCUGAAACUUAAAGGAAU